CUUGAUGGUCUACAUACUGUCGCUCAAAUUCUUAAGCAGUUUAUUCACGGAGAAGUGGAAAAAAAGUGAUUAAACAUAAGAGAUGACAAUUAAUGAUUUCACAAAUCAAAUACAAUUAUGAUGUUUGAUAUUCUAUUGAUUCCAAUUUACCUCAUUUUUAGUUUCCGAACAAUGAGUUAAGAAGAAAUGGACCACUUCCCGGUAACACAAACGCAUAUUCACAUUAUUUAGUUCAUGCUAUAGUAUUUCUUCAUUCAUCUUUUAGAUCUGAACUUGGGAGAAGCACAGAAAGAAAGGCAACCUCUUUAUACCUGGAUGAAGAUAUAAAUCCUGGGGACACCAGAAGGAAUGGAGCCCAUAUACUCUGCCCUUGAUGCCCGAAGCAACUGUGUGACAGCUUGAAACAGAAAUAAAUGUUAACGUUCCCACUCUUGCUGUGUUCUUCAGGAAACAAAACUUUAUUUCACUGAGUUCUCUUGAGAGCGGAUAAAAGAUGAAUUCCUGAUCAUGAGAAGAUUGAAAACAUGUUACUUUUGCACCCUGUCAGGAAAGCUGGAAAGCCUGUAUCAGUGACUAAAUGAAAUAAUAACAGCCCUAUACACAGUAUUGAACAAUACAUGGCUUCUAAGGGUACCAAAAGCUCUGUGUGGAGCACGAGGCCUUUACAACAAGUCUUGGGACUCUGGAAGGCCCCUGGCCCAGAGCCAAUCCAUCACAAUCGGCGGCUGGGAGAAGUGAUGAGGAGUGAUUUACAGCUUUUGCCUCCCAACCUCUGUGAGAUGCCGAGACAAGUGGAUAAUUUCCUAUUCCAAGUACCCCAGGGUCGAUAAAAUAGGUCGUUGCUUUUCCUUCUGAGGGAGGCCUUCCUGGUACACUGUUCUUCCUCCAGAAAUAAGGCGGCUCCCAUUUGAAAAUUAGGCCUCCUCUUCACCCUUCUGCUUAAGGAACAAAAAUGGGAAGCUCUUUCCGUUGAAUGCUUUGGACUGGGCUUCAGUUUUACUGGUUAUACCAGGAUGCUACCUAAAGCCACAAUUAUUUCCUCCUCAUGCUCUCGAAGCCUUGGUUGGCUGAAGGGUAGAUUUUGAAUUACCCGACUCCUUUGUACGUCCCAGUUCCCAUCACCAUAACUUGUACAUUAGGCAUUCAGUAAUAAUUGAUGGAGUUUCACUCUGUCGCCCAGGCUGGAGUGCAGUGGUGCGAUCUCGG
rnacentral:lncRNA from 10 species